rnacentral:rRNA from 1 species
GACGAACGCUGGCGGCGUGCCUAAUACAUGCAAGUUGAGCGCUGAAGGUUGGUACUUGUACCAACUGGAUGAGCAGCGAACGGGUGAGUAACGCGUGGGGAAUCUGCCUUUGAGCGGGGGACAACAUUUGGAAACGAAUGCUAAUACCGCAUAAAAACUUUAAACACAAGUUUUAAGUUUGAAAGAUGCAAUUGCAUCACUCAAAGAUGAUCCCGCGUUGUAUUAGCUAGUUGGUGAGGUAAAGGCUCACCAAGGCGAUGAUACAUAGCCGACCUGAGAGGGGGAUCGGCCACAUUGGGACGGAGACACGGCCCAAACCACUACGGGAGGCAGCAGGAGGGAAUCUUCGGAAAUGGACGAAAGUCUGACCGAGCAACGCCGCGUGAGUGAAGAAGGGUGUCGGAUCGUAAAACUCUGUUGGUAGAGAAGAACGUUGGGGAGAGUGGAAAGCUCAUCAAGUGACGGUAACUACACAGAAAGGGACGGCUAACUACGUG